GCAGUCGACGCUGAAGCCUGGUGCUUGCACCGGGUGGAUGAGUGGCGAACGGGUGAGUAACACGUGAGUAACCUGCCCCUGACUUCGGGAUAAGCCCGGGAAACUGGGUCUAAUACCGGAUACGACUGCCGGACGCAUGUCUGGUGGUGGAAAGUUUUUUCGGUUGGGGAUGGGCUCGCGGCCUAUCAGUUUGUUGGUGAGGUAAUGGCUCACCAAGACGACGACGGGUAGCCGGCCUGAGAGGGCGACCGGCCACACUGGGACUGAGACACGGCCCAGACUCCUACGGGAGGCAGCAGUGGGGAAUAUUGCACAAUGGGGGAAACCCUGAUGCAGCGACGCAGCGUGCGGGAUGACGGCCUUCGGGUUGUAAACCGCUUUCAGCAGGGAAGAAGCGCAAGUGACGGUACCUGCAGAAGAAGUACCGGCUAACUACGUGCCAGCAGCCGCGGUAAUACGUAGGGUACGAGCGUUGUCCGGAAUUAUUGGGCGUAAAGAGCUCGUAGGUGGUUGGUCACGUCUGCUGUGGAAACGCAACGCUUAACGUUGCGCGUGCAGUGGGUACGGGCUGACUAGAGUGCAGUAGGGGAGUCUGGAAUUCCUGGUGUAGCGGUGAAAUGCGCAGAUAUCAGGAGGAACACCGGUGGCGAAGGCGGGACUCUGGGCUGUAACUGACACUGAGGAGCGAAAGCAUGGGGAGCGAACAGGAUUAGAUACCCUGGUAGUCCAUGCCGUAAACGUUGGGCACUAGGUGUGGGGGGGCAUUCCACGUUCUCCGCGCCGUAGCUAACGCAUUAAGUGCCCCGCCUGGGGGAGUACGGUCGCAAGGCUAAAACUCAAAGGAAUUGACGGGGGCCCGCACAAGCGGCGGAGCAUGCGGAUUAAUUCGAUGCAACGCGAAGAACCUUACCAAGGCUUGACAUACACCGGACCGUCCUGGAAACAGGUCCUCUUCUUUGAAGCUGGUGUACAGGUGGUGGCAUGGUUGUCGUCAGCUCGUGUCCUGAGAAGUUUGGGGUUAAGUCCCGCAACG
rnacentral:rRNA from 1 species